rnacentral:misc_RNA from 1 species
UUACUCAUAUUUAGAAGGAAUAAAAUGAUGAAGGAUAUCGAAAAUAAUAUGUUUAUUUUCCAACUUCUACUGUUUGGGUUUGUUCUUGGUUCUGAAGUUGUUGCAGACGAUUCUUCACUUAACAUUCAUUCCUUUUCUGUCAUGAGUGACAUCAAGUUUCGCUAUGCAACCACAAGAGUGGAAACUGUAUUCAAAAACACACGUAAAUCUUCAGCACUAGCCGUAUUUCACGUCAACAUUCCGGAAAAUGCGUUUGUGUCAAAUUUCACCAUGGAAGUUAAUGGUUCUGUUUUUGUGGGAGAUGUUCUUGAGAAAAAGCAAGCCAAGGAGAUUUACGACAAAGCUGCACAAAGAGGUGAGUCAGCAGGUUAUGUCGGCACAGAACAUAGGCACACAAGCACAUUCCAUGUGAUGGUCAGCGUAGAGGCACAGAAAACAGCUGUGUUCACACUCACAUACCAAGAGUUAUUGCGAAGGUCAUUCGGGAAAUACAAACAUGUUAUUCAUUUAACCAACAAACAAAUCAUUGAGAACUUUAAAAUAGAAGUCUUUAUAUCAGAACUUCAAGGCAUUAGCCGGUGUAACGUUGAACUUAAGCAAGUGAGUUUUGAAAAAAAUGCUGUUGAAAUAAGGAAGGAGACGAAAGAAGUAGGGAACAUAGACUACAAAAACAAUAAACAAGUUUAUAUAAACUAUGAACCCAGUGUCUCUGACCAGAAGGCCUUAUCUUCCCAGGGAAUCACAGGACUGUUUGAAGUAAACUAUGAUGUCGACUGGAAAGUAUCUUCAAACAUGGUUUAUGCUAUCGAUGGAUACUUUGUACAUUUUUAUGCUCCUGAUUCUUUCCCCUCACUUCAGAAGAAGAUAGUUUUCAUGUUAGACGUGAGUGGUUCAAUGUCUGGCCGUAAAUUGAAACAACUGAAAAAAGCAAUGACUGGUAUCCUUCAUUCGUUGAAACAAGCUCUGGACACAUUCAUGAUUGGAAUAUUUAGUUCAGGCAUUGACUGGAUGACUGAUGGUUUUUUGCCAGCAAGUAAGGAGAAUAUUAAUGUUGCUCUUAACUAUAUUGAUAGAUUAUCUACGGGUGGAGGAACAAACAUUAACGAAGCACUUCUUACCAGCCUGAAUAAAUUUGAUAAUCUAAAGUCCAGUGAGACUAAAAAUUUAAUCUUUUUUCUGACUGAUGGCCAACCAACUGAUGGUGUCGUAGACUGGUUUACUAUUAUAAAAAAUGUGGCGAAAGCUAACAGUGAUACUUCUAUUUUCACAUUAGGCUUUGGUGAAAAUAGUGACAUGAAUUUCUUGAAACAACUUGCUGGUGCAAACGGUGGAUUUAGUCGUAAGAUCUAUGUAGCAGCUGACAGUCGAAUGCAAAUCUUAAACUUAUAUCAAGAAAUUUCUCGCAUCCUUUUGAAAAACAUUGAUAUAGUUUACCUAGAUGAUGCUAUCAAUCGUACAACCUUAACAGAAAAUUCAUUCAGCUAUUACUUCAAAGGUUCUGAGAUAGUUGUUGCUGGUACCACAUCAGAAGACCUGAAAGAAGACAUAAGCAUUUUGCUCACAAUGGACACUUCUUCUGGUUUGAAAUCUGAAAAAUUAAAGCUGCCUAUUGAAAACCUUAAUGGUGAAUUUCAAUUAGGUCUUGAAUCCAUUCCACAGAAUCCCAAACUGACUACACUUCAGUCUCUUCAUACUAUAACUCGCAACACAUGGGUUCACCUCACUUUAAAAAAGUUAUUAAAUUUAGAAAGAACUCCAAAAGUUCGAGACCAGAUAAUCUCAAUAGCACUCAAAUAUGGCUUUGUUACACCUCUGACUUCAAUGGUGGUUGUACAAAAUAUGGGAAUGAAAAUGGUCAGGGAUGGUGAUCGUCUAAUUGAACGUAGUGGAAAGCGCAUGUAUCUUGGAAUUUCAUGUGGAAAUACCUCCUUUUCCUAUUACCUACUGUUGGUUAUCGGUUGCCUCCAAAUGUAUUUUCAGAACUGGUAGAAAAUCUUGUCUGCACUUGACAUCAAGAAGGACUGAGGAAAAUUCUGAUGUUAUUUGUUUCAGUAAUACUCAUAAAGUUUUGAAACAGCUCCCACAGCAACAUUUGGUAACAACUGUAUCACCACAAAUGGUUUUAAUGAAGGUAAAAAUCGGACACUAUACAAUAUGAGAGAAAAACUAGUAAGAAUACAAAACAGAGUCAUUGGACUGCAGCCAUGCUGGAGCAAUAGCUUGAAGGGUUUAGUU